UAAUACGGAGGGUGCAAGCGUUGUUCGGAAUUACUGGGCGUAAAGCGCGUGUAGGCGGUCGCGUAAGUCUGAUGUGAAAGCCCGGGGCUCAACCCCGGAAGAGCAUUGGAAACUGCGCGACUAGAGUGCCGGAGAGGAGGGUGGAAUUCCUGGUGUAGCGGUGAAAUGCGUAGAUAUCAGGAGGAACACCGGUGGCGAAGGCGGCCCUCUGGACGGAUACUGACGCUGAGACGCGAAAGCGUGGGGAGCAAACAGGAUUAGAUACCCUGGUAGUCCACGCUGUAAACGAUGGGCACUAGGUGUUCGGGGUAUUGACCCCCCGAGUGCCGCAGCUAACGCAUUAAGUGCCCCGCCUGGGGACUACGGCCGCAAGGUUA
rnacentral:rRNA from 1 species